CACAAUGAACCUUCUCAGGUCUGUGGCUCCGUGUUCAGUGAGUAAGAGUUUCAGGGAAAGGACUAGACUGAUUAUCAACUGAAUGCUUCAUGCAUUUUGCUGCACAUCCUUGUUCUCCCAUAAUGGUGGCAGAAUUACUAAAAUAAAGCAAGAGGAUGCUGUGCCGCUUGGAUUCUCCAGUCUUCGCUCUUACAGCAACUUUGAGAAGGGAGUGAUGAAGGCUAGGGGGUGGGGAGAGAAAGCGGGCGGGGGGGGGGGGCAGGGUGAGGUUGAAUGCUUGCUUAUAAAUCGAGAACUUGAAGCAUUGUGUGGAAGAGGAGGACACACUCGAUUAUUUUAUCAUAGAGCUGGUAACCAGCAGCAAGGAUCAAUUCAGUAAGAAAUCAUUCUCCCAUGGGAGGGAUGGCCGUGUCUGCAAAUGGCAAACAGGCUCUUACCUAAUUCCUCACCAGCCAACAGAGGUGAGAAGGGGAGAGAUGAGAGGAAGAGGAAGACAAAAGCUGUAUUGAUCUUCGCAACAAGUAUUUUUAUGUCUUGAAAAGGCCACCCACUACUGAGAAGUUUGGGGAACAAUAUACCAGCUGCCAGUGAGAUACCCAUUACUUGAUACAGCUGCAUUUUUGGAGGUGAUAAUAUUUGAAAAUAGGAACCAGAUUUUUCGUCUUCAUCCCCAGAGCCAUAAGGAUUGGCAAAAAGUUGCUGAAAAACAAGGGUGGGUUGACUAUGACUGGAAGCCCGAGAAUCUAUUUUUAAAUUUCCUUAAUCUAUUUCUUCUUUAAUUUCUUCUCUAUUCUUUCAUGUUUUGGGUAGCCUUCUCAGACUACUGAAGUUCUGGAUGCUUAACUAUAUAUGCCAUACCGGAUAGUGUCAAGUAUUUAAAAAGAAAUAGGUGUCAGAAGUAACCAAACUCAAUUCUGAGUUUUGUUUUAAAAAGGAAGACCAUUAUUUUAGAUGCAUUUGACUAUGUUUAGAGACUCACUACCGGCUAGAUAUGGCAGUGCUCUAAAUGGGCUUUCACAUGGAGUGAAGGAAUAGCACCCAGCAUUAUGCUGAAACUUCUUGAUUGUAAACAGGAGAAGACUGUCUGCAAACUUCAGAUCUAUAGUCUCAAUGCUGUCCUCGGGCAAAAUUCUGGGACGGAUUAUUACAGGAAUGGUUUGUAAGCUCUUGGCAAG